CACACACACACAUGACACACAUAGAGACAGAGACACGUAUCAUGUCACACAUAUUACAUACACACAGAUUACAUCACACACAAAUUACACACUACACAGAUACAAACACACACAUGACACACACCGAGACAGAGGCUUGCAUCACAUCACACACACAUGUCACACACACACACAUCACACCCACAACACAAACACACAUACAUACACACACACACACAUCACACACACACAUCAUACAUCACACACACACACAAACACACCCACACACAUAUAUCACAGACACACAUAUCACAGACACAUAUAUAUCACAUCACAAACACAUAUCACACAUCAUACAUGCACACACAUCACACACACACACACACACAUACAUCACACACAGACACAUCACACACACAUCACACACACACACACACACAAACACAAACACAUCAUACACACACACAUCACACACACACACACACAUCACCCACACAUCACACACAGACACAUCACACACACAUCACACACACACACACACACAAACAUCAUCCACACAUCACAUACAAACACAACACACACACAUCACACACAAACACAAAAAUGAACCACACAGACACACACACAUCACACCACAAUCACACAGACACAUACAUCACACAACAUCACACAAAUCCACAUACAUCACACACACACUCACACUCACACACACAACACAUACACACACACACACAUCACAUAACCCAUACACACACACAAACACACAUCACACCACAUCACACACACACACAUUCAACACACACACAGACACACAUCACACACACAACACACACACAUAUCACUCCACACACACACAUACACAUCACACACACAAAUACAUCACUAAAAUCACGCACACGAUCACACAUCACAGCACACAUACACAUCACACACACACACACACAGCACAGCACAUCACAUAUGGCACGCAUACACAUAUAUCAAUACACACACACAUAUCACAUACACACACAUCACACCAAUCACCACAUCAACAAGACAAACACCACGCAUCACAUUCAUCACACGCACAUCACACACACAUAUAUACUCACCAUUCACACACAUCAUGCCACACCAGACCAUCAGCACACACACAUCACACACAUCAACACAACAUACACACAUAGCACACAUCCAUCACACACUACACACACACAUCACACAAACACACACAUCACAUUAUCACACACAUCACACACACACAAUCACACAUACACAUAUACAAAAUCACACACACGAGAGAUGCACACAACACGACACACACACACAUCACACACACACACACACAUCACCCACACAUCACACACAGACACAUCACACACACAUCACACACAAACACAAAAAGAGACACACACACACACACACAUCACACACACAGACACAUACACAUCACACAAACGUCACACAUACAUCACACAUACAUCACACACACACUCACACACACACACACACACAAUACACACACACACACAUCACAUAACCCAUACACACACACAAACACACAUCACACACAUCACAGACAUAUCACACACAUAUCACACACACACAUCACACACACACACAUCACACACACAUCACACACACACAUAUUACACACACAUCAGACACACAUCACACACAAACACACACACAUAUCACCCCCACACACACAUACAUACACAUCACACACAAAUACAUCACUAAAAUUACACACACAUCACACAUCACACACACAUCACACAUCACACACACACACACACACACACGCACGCACACACAUAUGGCACGCAUACACAUAUAUCAUAUCAAACACACACAUAUCACAUACACACACACAUCACACACACAUCACACACAUACACAGACAAACACACACGCAUCACAUUCAUCACACGCACAUCACACACACAUAUAUCACACACACAUCACACAUACAGAUACACAACACACACACAUCACACACACACACACAAACACACCCACACACAUAUAUCACACACACAC
rnacentral:lncRNA from 1 species